CCUACGGGACGCAGCAGUGGGGAAUAUUGCACAAUGGGGGAAACCCUGAUGCAGCGACGCCGCGUGAGUGAAGAAGUAUUUCGGUAUGUAAAGCUCUAUCAGCAGGGAAGAAAAUGACGGUACCUGACUAAGAAGCCCCGGCUAACUACGUGCCAGCAGCCGCGGUAAUACGUAGGGGGCAAGCGUUAUCCGGAUUUACUGGGUGUAAAGGGAGCGUAGACGGUAGAGCAAGUCUGAAGUGAAAGCCCGCGGCUCAACUGCGGGACUGCUUUGGAAACUGUUCAACUGGAGUGCUGGAGAGGUAA
rnacentral:rRNA from 1 species